AUCCCAUGAUGAGGGCACUUACAAAGUAAUUUUUUGAAUCUCUCCCAUUCCCCGUGCAAAGAUUUGUCAUCCAAUUGUUGAAAAAUGGUUAUCUCAUUUCGCAACAU
rfam:Gossypium raimondii chromosome 2, whole genome shotgun sequence.